rnacentral:ncRNA from 2 species
CCCCCUCACCGGGGGUGUCUGUCGUUCUGGCAGGCUGAGAAAGUCCCCAUACCUGAUCUGGAUCAUGCCAGCGUAGGGAGCGUGAAGGUCUUGGGUU